GCGUCUCUCCCUCCCUGGCUCACUUUCCUUUCUCUCUCCUCAGCUCUCUUCAUUUGUUUUUCACAUUCUCCAAAGUAUUAUCACAAUUUCUUCCUUUUUCAUACGCCUUUAAUAUUUCUAUUGCAUCUCAGACCUGAUACAUCCAGGUUUUUAGCUAAAUGUUGCUGUGUGUGUGUGUGUGUGUGUGUGUGUGUGUGUGUGUGUGUGUCUGUGUGUGUAUGUUUUAUUUCAUUAAGCAGAAUUUAGUCUGUGGAUUGUAUAUUUCAGAGGCAGCUCAGCUCUGUGUGUUUCAGCUUCUCUUCCCCUGGUACAUUGAGCUCUGGCCCCAGGCUCAGGCUGCCUGUGCAUGACAGGUAUAAGGCCAGCAUUCUGUGAUUCACCUGGAAUACACAAGUCCCCACUUCUUCCUCAUUUCUGUGCCUCUCUGGAGGGAACCCUGGCAGCCCUUGCCUCAGUUUCUGGGACAAUCCAGGCAGCUCUCCAUCACUGGAGAACACCAGAUGGAAUGGAUGGAGGCAAUUUUGCAGAAAGUGCUUUAAGAGCAGCUUCCUCAGUGGUCUUUCCAGCUGGAAGCAGAGCGUCCAGAAAGCACCGCAUUCUCAGCCCUGUUUCAUCGCCUCAAGAGCUACAGAUGGCUUCCCCAAGCACCUGAAGUCGAUGCUGCUUGCCUGGAUUGGAUAAGCUGCAAGCUGCAGAAACUCUUUUGUCUUUUCACAGUGCAACUCAGACUCCAGUUUCUUUCUGCCUUGAGAGUGAAAGAAAGGAGCGGAUACAAAGUAGGAAAGAGCCAGAAGGUGGAGAAAUUAAUGUUUAAUGCUUGAUACUCCCCGGGCCUGGCCAGCUGCUCAAAAAAGAUCCUGGCUGUGGAUAUAAUGAAGGCGUGAACUAUAAUAGUUGAACAAGGAAAUCAACUUGAACCAAAUUGUGAAGUUCUCUGCAAUGAAUUAUUAAAGCUCUUCUGAAAGGACUUGGAGUGAGCUGCCAGGCUGCAAGGGAUUGAAUCGAAAACCCCCUAACAGUUAAAGUAUCCAUUAGCUUCUCUACACUUAGCAUCCGUCAGAGAGAAGAUGGGCUGGGAGCCCCGGGCGAAUUUCUAACUAGCCUAAUGAGGAGAGAGAUUCUGGGAGCAAAAAAAGUUCAUUUGCUGAAUUUCCAGCAAGAAGUCACUUCAAUAUUGCUUCUAGGAAACACUGACAGGCUUUGUUGGUAAGAAAUCAUUAUGCUGAGAGAGAAAUGGGAUAUUGUUAUAUGAGGUUUUUAAAGAAAAUUCAUUUUGAUAGAUGUCUAACUGUGCAUUCAAUUAAAUUUCCUUCUCUUUCUUAAAAAUAGAUGUCAGGUAAUUGUACUCAAGUUCUGUAAGCUGAAAAGUGUUAUCCUUUCCU